GCUGUUAGGAAAAUAUAGGAUUUUUUUUAUAAAAAAGAGGAAAAUAUAGGAUUGGACUAUUGGAGGGAAUACUUUUUUGGACUUGUUCAAACUUCGUGCCUGAGCUCGGAUGGCCCGCUAUGUAAGUCCAUAUUUCACUCUCGAAUGUAUCUCUUGGGACAGAUAACCUCCUGAAAUCUAAAACCAUCUAAUUUACACCUCAAAUCUAAAAUACCAAAUAGAUCACCCCAUUAGGUGGUUUUAGUGCUGACGUGGUGAAUUUAGAACGGUUUUGACCAAGCUUUUGACCGACAACGUGGAACUGGCAGAGGGAACAAAACUUACAGAGAUGCGGUCGUUGAGCUUCUUGCGGCGGCGGCGCUCGGCGACGAGGUUUAGCUGUCUUCUGGCCAGUUAAUUACUUAAUUUCCUGCCUAUAAAUAACGGCCAUUCGUGACAAGAGGAUUCCACAGCACAUCACCACUACUACAAAAACGUUUAUCAAUAACGGUAAAAAAUGGUUAUCAGUAACGGGCAGACCGCCCGUCACUAAUGUGGGGUACUGGGGUACAUCAGCGACGGGACGGGCGGUCAGCCCGUUGCUGAUGUUAUGCACAUAGUGGCAUGUUCUUGUAGGGACCGACACUAAUAUCAUUUUUCACAUUUAAAAAAAAGGCUGGGCAUUGGCCCAGCCCGCACGUUUCCCGUCGCCACGCCCAUGCCUCAGGAGCAGGCAUCCCUGCACGUUCCCCGUCGCCGGCAUCUGCAGGCAGCCCAAAACUCGGAGAUCUCCCCGGCCAACAACGAAUCGAUGAAUAGAGAUGAUCGAACACACAACAUGGACACAAAUCAGAUCAAGAACCCUAGCUCGCUGCCCAAACACACAAAUCGAACACACAAACGAAUCCGCGAUCAAGAACACACAAAUCGAACACAUAGAUCGGAUCCGCGACGGGGAGGUGGAGACGCCGCCGCUGCUCGUUGAAGAUAGGCCGGAUCCGGGGGCCUCCGGCCCGGAUCCGCGACGGGGAGGUGGAGAUGCCGCCGCCGCUCGUUGAAGAUAGGCCGGAUCCGGGGGCCUCCGGCCCGGAUCCGCGACGGGGAGGUGGAGAUGCCGCCGCCGCUCGCUGAAGAUAGGCCGGAUCCGGUGGCCUCCGACCCGGAUCGGCGACGGGGAGGUGGAGAUGCCGCCGCCGCUUGCUGCAGACGUCGCCGCCGCUCUGGGGAGGGAGGAGGAGAACCGGGUGCGCUGGGAGAGAGAGGAGCACGGCACGGCAACUGCUCGGGCUGGGAGAGAGGAGGGAGAAGAAAGGAGAGGGAGAGAUGGAUGCGUGUGGAUUGGGGAGAGGAAGGAGGAGAAAUCGGGCAAAAGUGAGGGAGGGAGGUGGCGGCAGCAGGGAGAAAGAGAGGCAGGAGGGGGGUUAGGGCUAGGCUGUAUUAUAUACGCAAUGGGGUUGGCUCAUGAGUGGCGGGUUCA
rnacentral:lncRNA from 1 species